GCCCCAUUGCAAGACAUACUGGACUCCAAACAGCUCCAGCUCUCCUAAAGCGGGUGCCGCAGGUUCGAAUCCUGCCGGGGGCA
rnacentral:tRNA from 1 species